GAGUUUGAUCUUGGCUCAGGAUGAACGCUGGCGGCGUGCUUAACACAUGCAAGUCGAACGAUGAUCCCAGCUUGCUGGGGGAUUAGUGGCGAACGGGUGAGUAACACGUGAGUAACCUGCCCUUGACUCUGGGGAUAAGCCUGGGAAACUGGGUCUAAUACCGGAUAUGACCUUCCAUCGCAUGGUGGUUGGUGGAAAGCUUUUGUGGUUUUGGAUGGACUCGCGGCCUAUCAGCUUGUUGGUGAGGUAAUGGCUUACCAAGGCGACGACGGGUAGCCGGCCUGAGAGGGUGACCGGCCACACUGGGACUGAGACACGGCCCAGACUCCUACGGGAGGCAGCAGUGGGGAAUAUUGCACAAUGGGCGCAAGCCUGAUGCAGCGACGCCGCGUGAGGGAUGACGGCCUCGGUUGUAA
rnacentral:rRNA from 1 species